CCAAUGCUUCUAAUUUCAUAGCAAGCUCGCUUGCUAUGAAAUAGGCAACCAGUAAUAUAAGCAAGUGUGUGCUAUUUAUAGCGCUAGCCUACAAACCUAUAAUUAUAUUAACUCUAAGAGAAAUUUAAUAAUAAACGAAGUGAAUUGAAAUAUCUUAGUAACUUUAGGAAAAGAAAUCAAAAGAGAUUCUAUGAUUAGCGUGAGCUAAAAUAGACUAGCCUAAAAAGUCAAAUGGUGGAUAAACUGUUUAAAUUAAAUGGGGAACCUUCCUCAAAGGCUAAAUAUAAUGUAUAAGCGAUAGUGGAAAGUACCGUGAGGGAACCAAAACAAAAACAGUGAUUUUAUAAGCAGUUCGGGAAAAUAAAAAAAAGUUAGAACGUACCUUUUGCAUAAUGGGUCACCAAGUUAACAUUAGAUGCGAGUAGGAGGCUUUGCCCAUACAUACGUAGUUAAACCGAGCGUUAAAAUAACGGUAAGUAUCUAAAGUUAGACCCGAAGCCUGGUGAUUUUACCAUAAUCAGGAUUAUAAAAGUCCGAACGGAAUAUUGUAGCAUAAAUAUCCGAAGAAUUAUGGUAGGUGUAGUGAAAGACAAUACUGACCAGGAUAGCUGGUUUUCUGCGAAACCUAUAACAGUAGGCAAUUUAAGUAUAAUAUCUUAGCAGGUACAGAAUUUAAUCUCAGACAAGACAUAAGGCUUAGCUUGCUAGCAAGUAAAGCUCAUGUUUUAUUUUGUACAAAUUGGGGGAUCAUGAAGAUUUUAUCAGUGAGUAUGUAGACUCGGAAUGGCAAAGAUAUAUCUUAAAUCAUCAGACAUAGAAUGAUAAGGUUGUAUGUCAAAAGGGAAACAGCCCAGAACAAGAGUUAAGGUUCCUAAAUUAUUAGUUGAGUGAAAUUAAGAAGGUUUUUAUUAAAGUCGACAAGGAGAUAGGCUUAGAAGCAGCCAUAAUUUUAUGACCUCGUAACAGAGCGCUUGUUAAGUUUUAAAAGCAUCGAAAAUUUAUCGGAUCUAAACAAUAUACCGAAACCUUGUCCAUAUUAUUUUAUAAUUAAAGCUUAAUUAUAAUUAAAUGGGGUAGCAGAACGUUGAGCUAAAUUAAGAUUUUUAUUUUUUAAAUGAAAUUAUAAUAAUUUAACUCAAGUGAUAAUGGUGACAUGAGUAACUAAAAGAAAAAAUAAAAUUUUUCCGCCUAAAGCUUAUGGAUGUAAUUAAGUAACGGCCUCUAAGUUUAUAUUAUCUAAAGAUUUAAACGAUGAGAUAAUCUUUUGUACUAAGGACGACAUUUUAAGUGAAAAAUGUACUGGAAAAAUAGUACUAAAUUAAUGGGUAUAGCUAAUUAGUUAGCUAUAGCUAUAAAUGAAAAGUAACCGUACCUAGAAUCUGAAACAAGUAAGCUAGUAGAGAAUACGAAGGCGUAAAUGAGCUAACAAUCAUAAAGGAACUCGGCAAAUUGACUACCGUAACUUCGGGAUAAGGAGAGCUCAUUAUUCUUGAUUAAUAUCAGGUAAAGAGGAAGAAGCAUGAAAUAGUGUUGUACGACUGUUUAAUUAAAACACAGCACUUUGCUGAAAGAUUAAAAAUCUAAGUAUAGAGUGUGAUGUCUGCCCGGUGCCGGCUGGUUAACAGAUAUAAUUAAAUAUACUAAUAUUUGAUGUAGACGGAAACCCCGGUUAAAGGCGGCCUUAACGUGAGGGUCCUAAGGUAGCGAAAUGCCUUGGCCGUUAAAUGCGGUCUUGCAUGAAUGAUGUAACGAUACAACAGCUGUCUCUAUGAUUGACUCAGUGAAAUUGGAAUAGCUGUGCAGAUACAGUUUACCUCUAGUUAGACGAGAAGACCCUAUGCAGCUUUACUGUCACUAAUUAUAGAGUAUGAUAAACAAUUUUCAGAUUAUAAGGUAAUUGACGGCUAGCUUGUUCAGCAAGCUAGCUCUAUGACAAUGAGAAUCCUUUAUUUUUUUUUCAUAUGAAUGAAUUGGUUUAGGAUUAUGAGUAGGUAGCGGCUUCUGCUACUUGGCGUAAGCAUUGCUUGCGUCAGGUGUCUGAAGUAUGCAUUCCAGCUCAUGCAUAGUAAAUCAACCUAAUUCAGCUUAUUUUCCUUUCUGCCAUAAGCGCAUAAUGAUAGAUUUAACUUAAAUUUUGAUUUAUGCCAGCUGCAGAAAUAGAUAAGUACCCUUGGCUAAGGAACUAUCGCUAGGGGACAGUUUAUGUGGGGCACAGACCCUGUAAAGAGUAAACAGGAGUGUCUAAUAAUUUAUAAUUAUUUUGUUUGCGAUUUAAGAUAGUGAAACUAUUUUUAAUCAUAUAAAAUUAUUUAUAUGUACAUUCGUUGUAUAUAUAUUUAAAAAAAGGUAGGAUUUUCACUAUAUAGAAAUUAGAGAUAAUAAAAAUAUUAAGAAUAUACGUUUCAGGCUGGGAGGGGGAAGCUCCUCCCUUUGAAAGGUAGCACUAAUAUUUUUUAGCUAUUAAGACAGGCUAUCAAGCUAGGCUCUAAUAGUUAUGUAUUAAUUAUCUAAAAAGCUCAACGGCUAAAUCUUGCCUUACUGUUUGAUUAUCAACAAAUCU
rnacentral:rRNA from 7 species